rnacentral:SRP_RNA from 10 species
GCCGCGAAUUCGCGGCGCCGAGCGGGGGCAAUAAGGUGGUGCGGAUGCCUGGUCGUUUGCUCUUUGGCCUGGGCCUGUGGUUCGCUCUAUGCGGCCCGCCCGUUCCAAGUUGCGUAGCGUGUAUGGGGCGCCCUGGCGAAAGCUAGAGCGUCCCUGCACCUAGAGUGGCGGGUAUUGCGUGAGGCUGGUUUCACAGAGCAGCGAGUACCGCCCGCUUCCAACGGUGGAAGGAUUACGGGCCGCUGCAGCCCUGGCCCGCUUCCGGCCCAUGUGCCUUCCAUGGCAGACCCCCAUCUUU